GACGAACGCUGGCGGCGUGCUUAACACAUGCAAGUCGAACGGAAAGGCCCUGCUUGUGUGGGGUGCUCGAGUGGCGAACGGGUGAGUAACACGGGAGUAACCUGCCCUGUACUUUGGGAUAACUUCAGGAAACUGGGGCUAAUACCGGAUAGGAGCUCCUGCUGCAUGGUGGGGGUUGGAAAGUUUCGGCGGUUGGGGAUGGACUCGGGGCUUAUCAGCUUGUUGGUGGGGUAGUGGCUUACCAAGGCUUUGACGGGUAGCCGGCCUGAGAGGGUGAACGGCCACAUUGGGACUGAGAUACGGCCCAGACUGCUACGGGAGGCAGCAGUGGGGAAUAUUGCCCAAUGGGCGGAAGCCUGAUGAAGAAACGCCGCGUGCGGGAUGACGGCCUUCGGGUUGUAAACCGCUUUCGCCUGUGACGAAGCGUGAGUGACGGUAAUGGGUAAAGAAGCACCGGCUAACUACGUG
rnacentral:rRNA from 1 species